rnacentral:tRNA from 1 species
CAUUAAGAAGCUAUGGACCAGCAUUAGCCUUUUAAGCUAAAGAGAGGGGCGGUCAGCCCCCUUAAUGA